UACGUAGGGGGCUAGCGUUGUCCGGAAUCAUUGGGCGUAAAGCGCGUGUAGGCGGCCCGGUAAGUCCGCUGUGAAAGUCGGGGGCUCAACCCUCGGAUGCCGGUGGAUACUGUCGGGCUUGAGUGCGGAAGAGGGUCGUGGAAUUCCCAGUGUAGAGGUGAAAUUCGUAGAUAUUGGGAAGAACACCGGUGGCGAAGGCGGCGACCUGGUCCGAUACUGACGCUGAGGCGCGAAAGCGUGGGGAGCAAACAGG
rnacentral:rRNA from 1 species